UUUUGAAUACGAUAAGCCGCGCCGUUUGUUUUUAAUACUUGGUAUCGUUCUGCAAGGUACUCGAUAGUAUAUCGAUAUCGGCCAGGGCUGUCAGCGCUUUUCGAGCAGGCUGCGGGUUAUAUUUUUGAAUUGAAAAAAACCGUUUUUCAUGGAAUUUUAUACCCCAAUCUUUGAUUGUUGUUGGAUUUUGUAAUACAGGAAUCGGAUACUUUUUUCUUUUACAGUUUUCAAAAGAAAUCACUUAUCAGUUGUUUUGAUAAGCUUAUAUACGACACUAUUGUUUUCAAUUGCCGUACAUCUGGUACAAUGUGAUUGUUUGAUAAAUGGAUACCAUUAUCUGGAGACGUAUGUACAUAUAUACGCCACUUGGCAUUCUGGCAUUGAAACAGACAUAAUAAAUACAUAUAGAUACAUAUGUCUGAUUGGAUGACUUCCAAGUAAAUCGAUCUGAACAACAGACACGACAAGGAAGAGGAUAAGGCUAACACAGAAAUUCAUUUCAAGCAUCGCUGGAGUCUCAUAAAUUUCGCGCUAUAAAUGUCUGCAAAUAAAGAAUCUACUAUAU